AGCAGCCGCGGUAAUUCCANCNNNAAUAGCGUAUAUUAAAGUUGUUGCAGUUAAAAAGCUCGUAGUUGAAUUUCGGGAUCAAGGGAUUGGUCAUGCCUUGGUAUGCACUGGUCUUAUUGGUUCUCACCUUCUAAGGAACCAUGAUGUCAUUCAUUUGAUGUUGUGGGGAAUUAGGACUGUUACCUUGAAAAAAUUAGAGUGUUUAAAGCAAGCUUACGCUUGAAUACAUUAGCAUGGAAUAAUGAAAUAGGACAUCAGAUUCUAUUUUGUUGGUUUCUAGGAUCGAUGUAAUGAUUAAUAGGGAUAGUUGGGGGCAUUAGUAUUCAAUUGUCANAGGUGAANUUCUUGGAUUUAUUGAAGACUAACUACUGCGAAAGCAUUUGCCAAGGAUGUUUUCAUUAAUCAAGAACGAAAGUUAGGGGAUCGAAGACNAUCAGAUACCGUCGUACUCUUAACCAUAAACUAUGCCGACUAGGGAUCNGAUGAUGUUAAUUUUUUAAUGACUCA
rnacentral:rRNA from 1 species